rnacentral:rRNA from 1 species
GAUGAACGCUUGCGGCGUGCCUAAUACAUGCAAGUCGAGCGAACAGACGAGGAGCUUGCUCCUCUGACGUUAGCGGCGGACGGGUUAGUAACACGUGUAUAACCUACCUAUAAUACUGGGAUAACUUCGGGAAGCCGGAGCUAAUACCCGAUAAUAUCUUUAACCGCAUGGUUCAUUCGUGAAAGACGGUUUUGCUUUCAUUUAUAGAUGUAUCCGCGCCGCAUUAUCUAGUUGGUAAGGUGACGGCUUACCAAGUCAACGAUGCGUAGUCGACCUGAGAGGGUGAUCGGCCACACGGGAACUGAGACACGGUCCAGAUUCCUGCGGGAGGCAGCAGGAGGGAAUCUUCCGCAAUGGGCGAAAGCCUGGCGGAGCAACGCGGCGUAAGUGAUGAAGGUAUUCGGAUCGUAAAACUCUGUUAUUAGGGAAGAACAAAUGUGUAAGUAACUAUGCACGUCUUGACGGUACAUAAGCAGAAAGCCACGGAUAACUACGUG